GCCGGCGUGGCCAAAUGGUUACGGCGUUCGCUUCCUAUGAUCUGAUAAGACGUGUUAGCGAGAGAUUGUGGGUUCGAUCCCCACCGUUGGUU
rfam:Cryptococcus amylolentus CBS 6039 supercont1.6, whole genome shotgun sequence.